UCCUAGCCAUUAAAAAAACUCAUUCCUCAAAAAAAAGAAACACUCCUCCCCAGAUGCGCCGCUGCACCCACUCCCAUCGAUACGCCGCCGUCCCCGUCUCCAUGCUCCACCGCCGCCCCCCGUCUCCAUGCUCCAUCGCCGCCCCCACCUCUCCCACCUGACGUUUGUGCUUCUAGAUCGAAGCCCAUGACGACGGCGCUCCCAGGUCGGUGACGCGACACUCCUGGAUCGUCCUCAUCAAGGAAGCGCGGCUUCCAGCCAACUAUGACCAAGAGAGGCCCCCGGAUCUGCGCUCCCGCGGCUGACGGCGGCCAUGACGAGGCUGCUCUAGAGCACCCCCUCCCCGGCGGCGAGAGAUUGGCCUCCACGUACAUGGAGUUGACCCCGGUUUUCAGGGAUGGUGCUGCUAGCGUUCAACACCAUGGACGGACGGAUGCUGGGCAGAACCCAGGCCAUGACAAUGCAGGCACAUAUCAAGGAUUCUCGACACCCUCAACUGAAGCUCCAACUCAAUUACUUCCCGUGCUGGACAUUGCUCCAACAUCGUCGUUCCGUCCAUGCUUCGAAUUGAUGGGUUGCCGUUCUGCCGACCUUGCCGGAAUCAAGUCUGCCCGUGCUCCAGCCAAGAUACGUCAUUUCGGGUGCUCGAGCAGUACUAAUUUAUAUUCAUGCUGCUAAUUUAACGAUUAUUUUGGUCGUGCCUAUCGAUUGGCCUGCGAGUGUCAAUUUGUUUUCCAGUGAACUUAAUCUUUCUUAUUUUCAUGAUUAGCAAAAUCAUUGCAGACCGCUUGUUUGUUGUCUGAACAAAAGACAUCUGUGAAAAUUCGAUAGAGCCUUGGACCGAGUUUACAUCUGUUAUCAUCUGUGUUCGAAAUUUGAUUUAGGUCUAUAGGAAAAGGCUAAGCUAAACCAUGUUACUACACAACAGCCAAAAGUUUGACUGAUAUAUAUCAGUAAUAUGGUACUAUCUUGACUGGUGAAUUCAGAACUGAUGCUUGCUACGUGCUACUAAUUUUCAUACUGAUAGACUUAACCAAAUAAUGUAUCAGUUGGGUAAAGUAAUCCAUUGCCCUUCUAGGAAAAUUUCAGCAAUUAGCCAGAAUCCAAUGCCACCCAUGGUUAGUAUUGUGGGUGUCCAUUAGUACUACCAACGUACUGUAGCCAGAUACAAGUAGUACAGACAGGUACUAAUCAGCGUCGCUCUGCAUCCUAAUUUCACAGUGAACUUGCCGCUGAUCAAUUACAGUUCUAUAACAAUGGUGAAAAUCUCACAUUUUCUCUUGGCAGAAAACAGUUUACAGAGCAUAGCCAAUUAAUGUUUUGUAUGAAUCAGAGCUUGAUAAUUAAUUCAUCUGAAGAUAAAUUGGUUGUAGUUUGACUGUCUGCAUCGUUGUUGCUUCCUUAUUUUAUAAAUCUUCAUCCUAGAAUAUGUACUAAGCACACACUAGGUUGAUUCGGCUAUUGUAGAACUCUACAUUUUAUUAUACAAAAAUAUUUCUGUUGUUUUUCAGCUUAGUGGAAAAGUUCGUUCGAAGCUUUGACUAGCAUCCAACCAGAGGAAUACCAUGAAAGGUUAGCAGUCUUAUAAGUUUAGAAGUGUGGCAUGGGUAGGGAUUUUGUUUUUCUGGUAACACAGUACUUGGUCAGGUUUUAGAGUGUGGUCCCAGGUCUCAUAGUAUUGAAAGCUUUGCUAUAUGUUGGAGAAAUUAUAUACUCCCUCCGUUCCUAAAUAUAAGUCUUUGUAGAAAUUCCACUAUACACCACAUACGGAUGUAUAUAGACAUACUUUAUAGUAUAGAUUCACUGAUAGACUUAGCCAAAUAAUGUAUCAGUUGGGUAAAGUAAUCUAUUGCCCUUCUAGGAAAAUUUCAGCAAUUAGUCAGAAUCCAAUGCCACCCAUGGUUAGUAUUGUGGGUGUCCAUUAGUACUACCAAUGUACUGUAGCCAGAUACAAGUAGUACAGACAGGUACUAAUCAGCGUCGCUCUGCAUCCUAAUUUCACAGUGAACUUGCCGCUGAUCAAUUACAGUUCUAUAACAAUGGUGAAAAUCUCACAUUUUCUCUUGGCAGAAAACAGUUUACAGAACAUAGCCAAUUAAUGUUUUGUAUGAAUCAGAGCUUGAUAAUUAAUUCAUCUGAAGAUAAAUUGGUUGUAGUUUGACUGUCUGCAUCGUUGUUGCUUCCUUAUUUUAUAAAUCUUCAUCCUAGAAUAUGUGCUAAGCACACACUAGGUUGAUUCGGCUAUUGUAGAACUCUACAUUUUAUUAUACAAAAAUAUUUCUGUUGUUUUUCAGCUUAGUGGAAAAGUUCGUUCGAAGCUUUGACUAGCAUCCAACCAGAGGAAUAACAUGAAAGGUUAGCAGUCUUAUAAGUUUAGAAGUGUGGCAUGGGUAGGGAUUUUGUUUUUCUGGUAACACAGUACUUGGUCAGGUUUUAGAGUGUGGUCCCAGGUCUCAUAGUAUUGAAAGCUUUGCUAUAUUUUGGAGAAAUUAUAUACUCCCUCCGUUCCUAAAUAUAAGUCUUUGUAGAAAUUCCACUAUACACCACAUACGGAUGUAUAUAGACAUACUUUAUAGUAUACAUUCACUCAUUUUGCUCCGUAUGUAGUCCAUAGUGCACUCUCUACAAAGAUUUAUAUUUAGGAACGGAGGGAGUAGCUGUUAUCUUGGUAAAACCUCCUAUGACCCUGUUUGGCAGCUCUCCGCUCGUCAGCUCCGCUCCUCGAGCAGCCGGAGCAUCAUCGAACAAGUCAACUCUGCGUUUACUUCGUCCCAGAGCGGAGCGGCCUGCAGGCCAUUUUCUUGGAGUCGCCAAAGUGUCGCUCCUUGCGUUCCUGUAUUUCACGAAGCUGGUGGAUUGCCGAAUAAAUAAUGUUAUUGCUACUUUGUUAAGUGUUUAAGCAUGCCUACUAUGAUCCUGCGCUUCUUACUCUUUGUGCAUGGCUUGAUGUCAAAACACCAAACUUAACAUUUGCUUGAUUAAUUCAGUCCAGCCUUUGUUUUGUUUUUGAACUAACUAUUACUCCCUCCGUUCCGAAUUACUUGUCUUAGAUUUGUCUAGAUACGGAGGUAUCUAGCACUAAAAUGAGUCUAGAUACAUCCGUAUCUAGACAAAUCCAAGACAAGUAAUUCGGAACGGAGGGAGUACAUGGUUUUCUUGUUAUGCUUGGAUAAUUAGAGUAUUCUAAAUUGAAAUUAUCCUGUCUUUUGUAUGUAAUUCACUUGCAUGGAAGGAUUAAUUCAACGCAUGUAUUCACGACAAAGUAUAUCCCAUACAGCAGAUCACUUCUCACAACAAGAUUACACCAAAAUGAUUUAGCAUUAUUGGGUUUUACUAAACUGAAACAAUGUAGCAUUGUAUCAAUAUUGUUCUGCUUUCCUAAUUUAAUAGAAUAUUUAACUGAGAAUGAUAAGUAUGCAGUGAUUUAUGUCCUUCAGCGUGCGUAAUGUUGUUAGCUACUACUUUACAUAAAUAACCACUGUACUCUAUUCUAUGUGAAAUCGACAUGUUUGCAUGUUGUUAACCAUCUGGCAAAGAGGCUCACUGGAUGUUUCUUAUUAUAUUCUAUCUGUAAUAGACAUGUACGCAUGUCUUUAACUAUCUGGCAAAGAGGCUCAUUGGAUGUUCCAAAAUUUACCUUUAUAGAACAUCAUUUGUUUUCUUCUGAAUCGAGAGGUUCAAAGCCAAUAUGUUGCCAGAUCAUUCACUGUGUGUUUGUGGGCAAACUUUUACUUUCGAAGGAGGCGCGGACUAUUGCCACUCCUUCCCUUCGCUUGCAAUAAAUUCUUGAAGGAACCAUGCAACCUAGCUGUGUCAUCUGUGUGUUUUAAAUUAGUUUCAUCUCUGGCUGGAUUGUGCUGAACUCCGCAUGUAAAACAUUUUAUGUCAUAUAUUUUGCACAGAGCUCACAUACACUGUUAAAAAAACAUUAUUUUAAUGUAUCUAAAUUUGUAUUCAUUUGUGCAGGAGAAUGAUUUCUCAAUGUCUGCCUGCACACAACCAGGUUCACUAGAUGAGUGUGUGCAGGACACUACAAUCUGAAGAAUUAGCUCCUACAAAAUAGAUCCUCCACGUGGUUGUUGUGAAUGUUUGCGGCACAAUUCAAAAUUCAUAAUGCUCCAAAGUUAUUGUGGUGAUCUGAUUUAAAGCUUUUAAAUAAUGGAUUGUACAAAUAAGCAUUUGAAUUUGUACUCAAGGUCGUGAUUCAUUUUGCUUUUUUGAGUA